CCGGCGCCCUGCCCCGCGCGAAAGCUCCACAUCCAGUGAGAGAAUUCUGUUGGACCUGCCUUCAAAAGAUACCAAGUUGUGCUAGUACAUCCAUAUAAAU